rnacentral:rRNA from 1 species
CGCGAAUGGCUCAUUACAACAGCUAUAAUUCACUUGAUCUUGACACAAUCCUACUUGGAUAACUGUGGUAAUUCUAGAGCUAAUACAUGCAUUAAAGCUCCGACCUCCUCACGGAAAGAGUGCAUUUAUUAGAACAAAACCAAGCGGCUUCGGCUGUUUUCGGUUGACCCAUAGUAACUGAGCUGAUCGCAUGGUCUUGCACCGGCGACGUGUCUUUCAAGUAUCUGCCGUAUCAACUUUCGAUGAUAGUGUAUCUGACUACCAUGGUGAUCACGCGUAACGGAGAAUAAGGGUUCGACUCCGGAGAGUUCGCCUGAGAAAUCGCGAACACAUCUAAGGAAGGCAGCAGGCGCGAAAAUUACCCACUCUCAGCACGAGGAGGUAGUGACGAAAAAUAACGAGACCGUUCUCUUUCGAGGCCGGUCAUCGGAAUGGGUACAAUUUAAACCCUUUAACGAGUAUCUAUGAGAGGGCAAGUCUGGUGCCAGCAGCCGCGGUAAUUCCAGCU